ACAGACAGACAGGCAGACAGACAGAAAGGCAGGCACACAUGCGCGCACACACACACACACACAGUGCAGCAUUCAGCUUGUCCUGUGCUUGCAAGAGUGCUGUUGGAGAAGACCGGUCCAGUCACUAGCUGUUCAUUGCUGGAAGGAAUUCCACAGAAAAAGGAUGAUGUCAACCACGGAAAUAUGCACCUCACAACAAACAGAGUCUCAGCGGCCACUCCCUGAAGCCCUGAGAUACAGGGUGCACUUCAUUUCCAGUGACCCCCCAAGCAAGACUGAACCACGAGCCCGCUCCCAGCUACCUCUGCCCCCGAUGUAUACCUACCUGGUGAUCAACGGCACCAGCACGCGACUGUCUCCUGACAAGCCCCACCCACGCAGGGAGGAGCCACAGAGGACCACAGCGGCCACAUCUGGACCAGACACACCUCAGGCAGCCAAUCACAGGCAUUCUUCUUCUGCACCGUCCAAUGGGAAAGAAGCUUGUCAGGCCCAUGAGUCAAUCUCGCCUUGGUGUGCCGCUUACCAGGAUGGAAGGAAGCUGGUCAAAGCAUUGCUAAAGUGUGUUUGUGGACAGGGAGGGUAACACGCCUGUGUGAUGAUUUAGGACAGUUGUUCUCUAUAUAAGUUCUCUUAUUUUAGCUUUGAUUGGUUCAUUUGCUUGAAAUGUCAUUUAAAUUUCUUAUUUUUUAGUCAUUGUAUUAUCAUGUUUACUAUAAAGCUCAAAGCAGCUCAAAGACAGGAUAAAAAGGACAACUGAGAGUGAUUGAUAACACCAUAAAAUAGUCAUGCAAAAGAAAGGUAAAUGACAUUUUAAGAUACUUUUCCUCUACUGUUUUUGUUUUCAUGUGUUUAGUAGGGUGCUGUAUUAUGGAUAGGUUUAAAUUAAGCGCAGUUAACAAUGUGUCUUAUAUGAUUAAAUCAUUGUGAAUUCACUACAAUUUUUUUGUGUGUUAAGUUCCAUGUUGUUGAACCCUACUCUUCAUUGUUUCUAUAGACACUGGGAUGCAACCAUUUCCAGAUCAAAAGAGUUUCUUAUACAAUGUAUUUGUGGAAGGUGCAGUCCAAGAAUGGGACCUGUUGCUUUUAUAUUGAGAGGAUUGUUGAACUAGGUUAGUGUAUCAACAGCACCCCCUGCUGCCUUUUUCUUUUACAUACUGCACUAAAUAAACACAUUGCUUCUGUACAGCAAUAAGGAAUCCUGAAGUACAUUAAACAAAACAAAAAAAUGCAUUCAAUAAAAUAUCACCACAUGCCAGUAUUCCACUUUGAAUUGAGUGAAGCCAGUUUAAAACAUGUCGCAGCAGGAUCCUCUCGUGAAACGCGAUCCCCUCAUACAGCUGCUCCUUGUGACAGACCUGGGCACAACCUUCUGGUGCUCUUGUUUAAACAGCACUGACAGCCUCCCUGUCUGGAUCUUUUACUUAGAGUAGCAAAGUGGAGACAAAGCUUAGGUAAGCAAGCUAAGAGUGGGCUAAUUAGGUUUAAGGUGUGCAUUUUAUAAGCCAGCUUUUAGAAAGGUCAUGACAGAAGGGAGCACAUUUUCAAAGCAUGUUCUCCAGUCUGUAAUUUAAUAGAUCCAUUUUAAUUUCUCCCUCCCCCAGAAAAGGAAACAAACAACUUGGCAGUGCUUAAGGGACCUUGAGAGACAGGUCACUAUAGCUGUGUUUCUGAGCACCUGUCUGGACAAGCAUGCGGUUCCUAUAAUUGCUUCCCCUUUCUCUGAGCCUUACAGUCUGUGGAGAUGAUUACUAGACUCAAGGGUUCCGUGCUCAAAAAGAGCUCAUCUUAGCAUGCAUCUGUGAACAGCGGCACUGGACAGUGGAGCUUUAGUUGCUGGAUCUAAAGUGGAAAAUGAACAGGUGCAUUUUAUACAAUACACAUUUACUUGUGUAGAGCGCUCUUCACACCAUGGCAUCCCAGUGUGCUGUACAAUAUUAAAAACAAAACAAGAGAGCUUAUAUGUACAACAGACUCCAGCUACGAAUCUGAAUGUACAGAGAUAGUAAUUCCUGGAGAUAGGAUGGCCCUUUACUGGUGUCAAGCUUCACAGCUUCCGAAUCCUCUCUUUUUUAGACUGCUUGCUAUGAUGUGGAAACCCAAUCAGGCCGUAUUUUAUGUGAUAUUUGUAUUACUGUGCACCGUCUGGGUCUUCACAAUGUCUUCUGUUCCUGGUAUCUCUCUCUCUCACACUGACAGCUGAGGGCUAAAAUAGGCAAGGAACAAGUGUCCCCGCGUCGCAUCCCCAGGGAAUGGUUCUGUUUCUAUGUAAACAUUUCUUUCUUUCUGCCAACUUUUCACCCGGCCUUUCAUAUCUCUCACUUUUGUUUUGGGAAAACAUACAAACUAACAAUACCAGGCCUUAUCUCGCACAGCAAAACAAGGCCUUGCAUACCACAUGACAAUGAUGCUGACAUUUCUGUUUCGCACACAGCUCAAACGAACACAAAGACCGAGUGGGAUUUAUUUUUGGUUUAUUUUUAAUGGCUGCACGGUCUGGUUUUAUUUUUUUUAGGCCUGACUAAUCCACUUCAAUUUAACAUUCAUUCUGACUAACAAGUCUUUUACUAUUCAGCAUUGCCACCUCCCUUGGUUACUUUGCUGCAGAUAACGACACUUCUCAUCUUACUUCCUUGGCUCAAGGACCCCCCCAUGACAUUAGGCAUCCUGUCUGAGGACCCCCGCCCAACGAGUCCAUAGCAACUGAAUACCUUACUUUCAUUACAGUCAACAUUUUGCCUUUCUCUUCAUUUAUUUGUAUAGAAUUCCCAGUUUCUUUGUUUUAUUUUUUCACUGGAAAUGGGGUUUCAACUUUGAAGGUUUAAAACACUCAUUAGACAGCAAUUCUAAGCAGAUCACACAAGUGAUCUCAUGAUAUAAGUUACUGAUCAGUACAUUUUCAUAUUUUGGUCAACUAUUUCCUGGUGCCAUACCAUUACCAGUGUACAAUACUUCUAAUCUCUUGUGUUGCCGUGGCUGGUGAUGCUGUGGGCCAGCAAUGGCUCUGCUGGGUGUUACCUCAGGGUAAUAAACUGGUUUUAUAAUGUGAUCCCAAUGAGAUGAAAAUAACAUACAGACACUUCUCUCACAAACAAGGUUUAUUCAUAAUGUAAAUGUGAGAAUAGUUAGUUUGUACAACACAAACCACACCUUGCCCUUGGUCUUCAACACUACAGGAAGGAUCUGUGCAAAGCCGUGAAUUUCUAGAGCUUUGAACAACCAGACAGAAUGGAACAUACACACUGAUGUGAGAAUAAACUUGGCAGAGACAGCCUAAUAUGUGUCACUCUCUCUCUCUGCCUCUCCUGCACUGUGCACAACUAUGAGUAAAAGUAGGACGUUUUAAUUGAUUCUUAAUUAAUUGAUUAACCACACUUGUGGGCUUUGAUUGGUUAAAAAGUAAUUGAUCGAUUAUCGUCUAUC